rnacentral:rRNA from 1 species
GUGGAAAGAUUUAUCGGUUGGGGAUGGUCUCGCGGCCUAUCAGCUUGUUGGUGGGGUAAUGGCCUACCAAGGCGACGACGGGUAGCCGGCCUGAGAGGGCGACCGGCCACACUGGGACUGAGACACGGCCCAGACUCCUACGGGAGGCAGCAGUGGGGAAUAUUGCACAAUGGGCGCAAGCCUGAUGCAGCGACGCCGCGUGAGGGAUGAAGGCCUUCGGGUUGUAAACCUCUUUCAGCAGGGAAGAAGCGAAAGUGACGGUACCUGCAGAAGAAGCGCCGGCUAACUACGUGCCAGCAGCCGCGGUAAUACGUAGGGCGCAAGCGUUGUCCGGAAUUAUUGGGCGUAAAGAGCUCGUAGGCGGUUUGUCGCGUCUGGUGUGAAAACCUCAGGCUCAACCUGGGGCGUGCAUCGGGUACGGGCAGACUAGAGUGCGGUAGGGGUGACUGGAAUUCCUGGUGUAGCGGUGGAAUGCGCAGAUAUCAGGAGGAACACCGAUGGCGAAGGCAGGUCACUGGGCCGCAACUGACGCUGAGGAGCGAAAGCAUGGGGAGCGAACAGGAUUAGAUACCCUGGUAGUCCAUGCCGUAAACGUUGGGCACUAGGUGUGGGGCUCAUUCCACGAGUUCCGUGCCGCAGCAAACGCAUUAAGUGCCCCGCCUGGGGAGUACGGCCGCAAGGCUAAAACUCAAAGGAAUUGACGGGGGCCCGCACAAGCGGCGGAGCAUGCGGAUUAAUUCGAUGCAACGCGAAGAACCUUACCAAGGCUUGACAUACACCGGAAACUUCCAGAGAUGGUUGCCCCGCAAGGUCGGUGUACAGGUGGUGCAUGGUUGUCGUCAGCUCGUGUCGUGAGAUGUUGGGUUAAGUCCCGCAACGAGCGCAACCCUCGUCCUAUGUUGCCAGCACGUGAUGGUGGGGACUCAUAGGAGACUGCCGGGGUCAACUCGGAGGAAGGUGGGGAUGACGUCAAAUCAUCAUGCCCCUUAUGUCUUGGGCUUCACGCAUGCUACAAUGGCCGGUACAAAGGGCUGCGAUACCGCAAGGUGGAGCGAAUCCCAAAAAGCCGGUCUCAGUUCGGAUUGGGGUCUGCAACUCGACCCCAUGAAGUCGGAGUCGCUAGUAAUCGCAGAUCAGCAACGCUGCGGUGAAUACGUUCCCGGGCCUUGUACACACCGCCCGUCAAGUCACGAAAGUCGGUAACACCCGAAGCCGGUGGCCCAACCCUUGUGGGGGGAGCCGUCGAAGGUGGGACCGGCGAUUGGGACUAAGUCGUAACAAGGUAGCCGUACCGGAAGGUGCGGCUGGAUCACCUCCUUUCU